rnacentral:rRNA from 1 species
GAUGAACGCUGGCGGCGUGCCUAAUACAUGCAAGUCGAGCGAACAGACGAGGAGCUUGCUCCUCUGACGUUAGCGGCGGACGGGUGAGUAACACGUGGAUAACCUACCUAUAAGACUGGGAUAACUUCGGGAAACCGGAGCUAAUACCGGAUAAUAUAUUGAACCGCAUGGUUCACUAGUGAAAGACGGUUUUGCUGUCACUUAUAGAUGGAUCCGCGCCGAAUUAGCUAGUUGGUAAGGUAAAGGCUUACCAAGGCAACGAGGCAUAGCCGACCUGAGAGAGUGAUCGGCCACACUGGAAGUGAGACACGGUCCAGACUCCUACGGGAGGCAGCAGUAGGGAAUCUUCCGCAAUGGGAGAAAGCCUGACGGAGCAACGCGGCGUGAGUGAUGAAGGUCUUCGGAUCGUAAAACUCUGUUAUUAGGGAAGAACAAAUGUGUAAGUAACUAAGCACGUCUACACGGUACCUAAUCAGAAAGCCACGGCUAACUACG